AGGGUUUGAUCCUGGCUCAGGACGAACGCUGGCGGCGCGCCUAACACAUGCAAGUCGAACGAGAGAGAGGGAGCUUGCUUCCUUGAUCGAGUGGCGAACGGGUGAGUAACGCGUGAGGAACCUGCCUCAAAGAGGGGGACAACAGUUGGAAACGACUGCUAAUACCGCAUAAGCCCACGACCCGGCAUCGGGAAGAGGGAAAAGGAGCAAUCCGCUUUGAGAUGGCCUCGCGUCUGAUUAGCUAGUUGGUGAGGUGACGGCCCACCAAGGCGACGAUCGGUAGCCGGACUGAGAGGUUGAACGGCCACAUUGGGACUGAGACACGGCCCAGACUCCUACGGGAGGCAGCAGUGGGGAAUAUUGCACAAUGGGGGAAACCCUGAUGCAGCGACGCCGCGUGGAGGAAGAAGGUCUUCGGAUUGUAAACUCCUGUUGUUGAGGAAGAUAAUGACGGUACUCAACAAGGAAGUGACGGCUAACUACGUGCCAGCAGCCGCGGUAAAACGUAGGUCACAAGCGUUGUCCGGAAUUACUGGGUGUAAAGGGAGCGCAGGCGGGAAGACAAGUUGGAAGUGAAAUCCAUGGGCUCAACCCAUGAACUGCUUUCAAAACUGUUUUUCUUGAGUAGUGCAGAGGUAGGCGGAAUUCCCGGUGUAGCGGUGGAAUGCGUAGAUAUCGGGAGGAACACCAGUGGCGAAGGCGGCCUACUGGGCACCAACUGACGCUGAGGCUCGAAAGUGUGGGUAGCAAACAGGAUUAGAUACCCUGGUAGUCCACACCGUAAACGAUGAUUACUAGGUGUUGGGAGAUUGACCCUCUCAGUGCCGCAGUUAACACAAUAAGUAAUCCACCUGGGGAGUACGACCGCAAGGUUGAAACUCAAAGGAAUUGACGGGGGCCCGCACAAG
rnacentral:rRNA from 1 species